CCUCCUGGCCCACAAGAUAUAAGAUCCAAGAUACAUGGUCCGGGCCCCUGUUCCAGCCUGUAGCAUCCUCAGGGAGGGAGGGGGAGGAGAGGUGCCCUGGGACCGGGAGCUGGUGUCUGGGCCUGGCACUCAGUCUCCCCAUUGCCCUGUCUCCACCUCCACCCCUACCCCACACCAGGAGCACCUAAGCAGGUCUCUAGCAGCUCUGCGCUCCAACAAGAUAAUUACCCUGAAGGGUGAACAGGGCCAGGCUGGCAUCCAAGGCCCACCAGGGCCACCAGGCCCUCCUGGACCGAGUGGACCUCUGGGGCACCCAGGACUGCCAGGGCCCAUGGGGCCACCCGGCUUACCUGGGCCUCCUGGACCAAAGGGAGACCCGGGAAUCCAGGGCUACCACGGCCGGAAGGGAGAACGGGGCAUGCCAGGGAUGCCGGGCAAACACGGAGCAAAGGGGGCUCCUGGAAUUGCUGCCGUGGGGAUGAAGGGUGAGCCUGGGAUCCCAGGAGCCAAGGGAGACCCAGGAGCAACAGGGAAGCCGGGGCCCCCAGGUUUGCCGGGAAAGACGGGGCAGAGGGGUGAGAAGGGGGCUGCGGGCCCCCCUGGGCUACUCGGCCUCCUAGGGCAGAAGGGAGAAAAAGGUGAUGCUGGCAACUCCAUUGGAGGGGGCAGAGGGGAGCCUGGUCCCCCAGGGCUCCCUGGGCCCCCAGGGCCAAAGGGGGAAGCUGGAACUGAUGGCCAGGCGGGCGCCCCAGGACGGCAAGGAGACAAGGGAGAGCCUGGAGCAGCUGGAGAACAGGGACCUGCUGGCCCCAAGGGCUCCAAGGGCGAACCCGGGAAAGGAGAGAUGGUGGACUACAACGGAAACAUCAACGAGGCUCUCCAGGAGAUCCGGACACUGGCCUUGAUGGGGCCCCCUGGUCUUCCUGGGCAGAUUGGCCCACCCGGAGCUCCAGGGAUCCCAGGCCAGAAGGGGGAGAUUGGACUGCCCGGCCCUCCCGGACAUGAUGGGGAAAAGGGACCUCGAGGCAAACCAGGAGAUGUGGGCCCUCCUGGUCCCCAAGGCCCCCCAGGAAAGGCUGGGCCUGCAGGAAUGAAGGGAGAAGAUGGCCUUCCGGGGAACCCAGGAGAGAAGGGGGAGAAAGGGGAGAUGGGGCAGCCAGGCCCACCGGGUCUAGACGGCCCAACUGGGGAGAAAGGAGAACCAGGUGACCAAGGGAGACCUGGAGUGACCGGAUUGCCUGGCCCCAUCGGGCUCCCAGGAUUCACGGGAGAGAAAGGAGAAGCCGGGGAGAAGGGUGACCCAGGAGUGGAGGUUCCUGGGCCACCAGGGCCAGAGGGACCUCCCGGACCUCCGGGGCUCCAAGGCGUUCCUGGACCAAAGGGGGAAGCAGGGCUAGAUGGAGCAAAAGGAGAGAAGGGCAUCCAGGGAGAAAAAGGAGACCGAGGUCCUCUGGGAUUACCCGGAGCUUCAGGUUUGGACGGCAGGCCUGGGCCACCGGGUACUCCAGGACCAAUUGGAGUUCCAGGCCCAGCGGGACCAAAGGGAGAGAGGGGCAGCAAAGGUGACCCUGGGAUGACAGGACCAACGGGAGCAGCUGGGCUUCCUGGUUUACACGGACCACCCGGGGACAAAGGAAACCGGGGACACCGAGGUUUUAAAGGAGAGAAAGGGGAGCCGGGGUUACCAGGGCUGGACGGACUGGAUGCCCCGUGCCCACUGGUACGGCAUCACCCUCCCUUGCCUGCAUGGCCAGUGUGGGCUUCCCCACGUGUGCGGUUCGUGCCUGCGUGCCUCUUCCGCUGCCCUGCACACUCCCGCUUGUCACUCUUCGCUCUGUAGACACCAAGGGUCACCCUGCCUUAGCUGGUCCUCAGGGGGCUCCCGCCACGUUCUCCUCUUGCAUGCAGAGUCUGCCAGGAUGCUUUCUUGGCUUCCUCCUGCAGCUGCUUCAACAGCCCAUCACCUUAAUGUCAGCGGCCCUCCCCACCCGACGCCAACCUUAGCUGCAUCAGACCCUCCUUUCAGAACUGCUUCUAGACAAGCCUGCCACCAGAAAGAGAGUCAGGGAAGUGGAUUCUCAGGACAAGUUAUUAGGACUGUGACUUCCCUUCCUUCACACACUGCAGUUAGUUGGAAAAGCGUUGGCAAAGCAUUUCAAUGAGAUGCCUGCGUUGGCCCCACGUCCCGCUCCACUCCAGCGUCACACGAUUUAGCAGAGGGAAGAUGGGCACCUCAUGAACAUGGGACAGAAUGAGGAGUUCUAGAACCAAAGGAGAGCAGGGGGUACCCUGACUGUUCUUCCGGCAUAGAUCUGGGAUCACUGCCCCGGUGACACCCCCAGAACCAGGGGAUGGUCCAAAAUCAGGAUUCUAGAUCCUGUAGGGUUCAUCCUUUUUGCUUAAAUCCCAGAAGACACUACGAGACCCUCCCUUGGUUUCCCUUUUUCUUUCAUCUUUAGGUGGUCACAACCAAAAGGUCUGGAAGAACCUGGAAAGGUUGAGAAUGUAGUUAAGGAAGGGAAGGGAGAGACAGGGAGGGAGGGGAGACAUUUAGGACCCGCUCCCAAGCAUGUCCCACCUAAGUGGUGGCAUUUCUGGUCCCGCUGGGCCCAGUCCCUCUCCAAGCAGGGACACCCGAGGCUUCUACAGCAACCCUUUCAACAUACUGCAGGGGAAGUAGAAGAUGGCACUUCACUCCAAGGCAAUUGGCUCAAAAACUUCCUGCUCUCCUAAAUUUCUGGAGGAGGUUUGGAGCUCAUGGAUCUAGUUUCAUACCAGUAAUUGUCAGAUGUGCAUUCCCAGCCUCACAUCCCCACCCCAGGGUCACACAGGAAUUAUCUUUGAACAGAAGAGAAAAAGUUUUUUUUAAAAAAAAAAAAAAGAUGCUGUGUGACCCUGACAGGGGACCAUAGAGCCCCUUGAAGGGACUUUUUAGGACCACACAGGCAACACGAAGGACGGCAGAGCAAGCAGCGUUGCAAGCCUCCCCUUCCCGCCGCGCUCCCCACCUUCCCACCCCACCCCCCUUGAACCCCCAGCAUGCAGCGCGCACCGCACAGGCGCCUUUCUCAGCCGUGGAAUCUCCCCCACCCUCCGCGGCACCUCUGUUAACCAGCAGCCAGGCGUCCCCUCUGCCGUGACCCUUCCCACGAUCUGAACACUUGAGUUCUGCCGGCUGCAGCCCUGGCCUCCCUGCUUCUCACCCACACACUGUCACUCCCCUCUGCCUGCCCAGCCCUCGUCUGUCCCCCCUGCCACCAUCCACGUGCCAGUGGGAAUGCCCCUGUGGUCCACGGAGGCUCCUCUCCCUUCCAGAGACCGUGUGAAGUGUCGCAUUGUGGCGGGCUGGGGAAAGAGACAGAGGUCAUCAUGGAACCCUGGGAUGCACCACCUUGCCCUGCAGACCCUCCCCGACCCACAAGGGACAAUGAAAGUUAUCUUGAUUUGGCCUUUAAUGCAAACUGGCAUUUUCUCCAAUAACAUUUGUGUGUUACUUUUGCUGUGGAAGUGUACAUGCCUUGCCUUUCUUGUUUCUCAUUGUUGCUGUUCGCCGUCUCCUGCACUGCGUUACUGUGGACGUGGGGCGGGGCUGGGGGGGCUGUUGAUCAGGAAUUUUAGUACAAGGUAACUAGACUUCUGCGGCCCCCGUACAGGGCCGGCUGUCUGCUGGAUGCCAGGUGAGUAGUUUCGGCACCUGUCAUGGGUGGAUGAGUAGGUCCAGGGCAGAGGGCGUUCCCAUUCCGGCUUCGCGGGGGCUGACCACUUGCUGCGGUCCCCUGAAACCCCGUGUGCAUCUCUUUCUCUGCCCUGGAGCCUGGGAUUCUAAAAUCUGGGCUGCAAUUCUAAUAGACCCGGACUGAGAACCAGGUCUUUGCCCUCGUUCAACCUCACCCUCCCCACCUGCCUCUCAGUGGUUUCUAGGUUCCCGCAGGGAGUGCCAGAGCAGCCAGGAUAGCGGGGCCCGAGGACACUCGGGACGUCCUGAGGCUGCAGGUGCUCUGGAGGUGCACCAGCAAGGGGGACAAGCGGCACCCGGUGGAUUCCCAUUCCACCACUGCCUCUUCCCCCCAAGUCCCCAGCAACGGCUGUGCCAGGAGCCCCGCCUCCUUGCUGAAGGCACCUCAGGCCCACAUUGCAAUGCCUGUGAAAUCACCCCUCCUCCUCCUUACUGAUCACCAGAUGUCCUCCCCCAGCUGCUAAGGAAGAGAGAAAAGAUCAGAGAACGGGAGAAGUGGGGGGUGGUCGUUUCAUAGAGCCGCACCUUCCCCAGGUUUUACGAAGGAGGAAACCGAGGCCCCCAAGGCCCCAAAAGCUGAGUGAGGCCCACGGGCACCCCGCACUCAGUACAGCCCAAGGGGAGACCAGCAGACCUCUGGUCUGUCCUCUCCACGGCAUUCAGGUCACCUCUGCUUGCUGAGCCCACAGGCUAGCAUCUUGGCCUUGCACUGUAACUACAUGUGAGCUUGGCAAAUGGGCAGACGGGUGGGCUUGCUUCCUGCCUCAUUUCGGCUCGGCCCUGGGGUAGAGAAGAGAAACAGACUAUAUUGGGGGGCCGCACCCUGAUCAGCCGCCGCAGUGUUUGUGGCCCUUGUUCCCCCUGUCCUGCUGCUUGGUGGGCCAUCUCGCAGAGUCUGAGCCGUCUGCCUUCCUUCCUCACUGCAGGGUGAAGAUGGCUUGCCAGUCCAGGGCUGCUGGAAUAAGUGAUGCCUCUAACCUGGGAUUGGCCUGUGUGUGUGUUUGUAAAUAGAAUAUUUAUUUUUAUACAGUUUUCACUUUUUGAAAAUGCCCGAAGUAUGAUGCAUCUUACAGAUUAUUAAAAAAAAAAGGAAAGCCUGCAUAUUUUGUACAGAAAAUACCAACCUCUUCCCUUUUGUUUACAAGAUGUUUUGUAUACGUCUAAGACUCUAAUACACUUUUCGUUAGUGAGUACGGCUGUACGUUUGCAUGAUAUUUGUGCACACUUAUUAAGUAUUGAAGCUUAAUAAAUUAUUGUGUUCCAGUGCCAAAGGGGGCCAACCAGCACUCAGGUGCUGGCUAGUUUAUGUGUGACUUCAGAGAUACGUGGAGUUCCAUGGUGUUUGCUAAGCUAGGUGUGUCUCAGAAUAUUUUAAACUCUUAUGGAUUUUCAUUAUUAAAAAAAUUAAACAUGGCAAUUCUUGAUCCUGAUUCAUCACUAAAUUAAAUACAUUCUUUUCUUGUGAAAUCAGGAAGUCCCAGAAGUGGGGGUCCUCAGAAGUUUAACGGUCUGAACCAUUAAGUCCAACAGACGGAGGGCCGGGACUGUACUAAGCAAUGUCUAUUAUAAUGUACCCCAAGUUCAUUACAGUGCCACAUGAGUAUGUAAAGUUCAGUUGUGCUGAAACCUUCGAAGCCCCCAAGGUUACAAAGGGCUACUUGCUACUGCUUUUGUUUUUUGGUGCUUUUUUGGUUUGUUUUUCUUUCUUUGGGGCUGCAAUCACUAGUAGCAGCUAUU